rnacentral:rRNA from 1 species
GACGAACGCUGGCGGCGUGCUUAACACAUGCAAGUCGAACGAAGUGGCGAACGGGUGAGUAACGCGUAAUCAACCUGCCCUUCAGGGGGGGAUAACAGUUGGAAACGACCGCUAAUAACGCAUAGUGAAGGUGGGGAGUGCGUCUGAUUAGCUAGUUGGAGGGGUAACGGCCCACCAAGGCGAUGAUCAGUAGCCGGUUCGGGAGGGUGAACGGCCACAGUGGGACUGAGACCCCGCCCAGACUUCUACGGGAGGCAGCAGUUGGGGAUCAUUCGCAAUGGAGGGAAGUCUGGCGGAGCAACGCCGCGUGAGUGGUGACGGCCCUCGGGUUGUAAAGCUCUGUUAAUCGGGACGCGGUACCGGAAUAGAAAGCAACGGCUAACUCCGUGCCAGCAGCCGCGGUAAUAC